GAUGAACGCUAGCUACAGGCUUAACACAUGCAAGUCGAGGGGAAACGAUAUUGGAAGCUUGCUUCCGAUAGGCGUCGACCGGCGCACGGGUGAGUAACGCGUAUCCAACCUGCCCAUCACUUGGGGAUAACCUUGCGAAAGUAAGACUAAUACCCAAUGACGUCUCUAGAAGACAUCUGAAGGAGAUUAAAGAUUUAUCGGUGAUGGAUGGGGAUGCGUCUGAUUAGCUUGUUGGCGGGGUAACGGCCCACCAAGGCGACGAUCAGUAGGGGUUCUGAGAGGAAGGUCCCCCACAUUGGAACUGAGACACGGUCCAAACUCCUACGGGAGGCAGCAGUGAGGAAUAUUGGUCAAUGGGCGAGAGCCUGAACCAGCCAAGUAGCGUGCAGGAUGACGGCCCUAUGGGUUGUAAACUGCUUUUAUAAGGGAAUAAAGUGAGUCUCGUGAGACUUUUUGCAUGUACCUUAUGAAUAAGGACCGGCUAAUUCCGUGCCAGCAG
rnacentral:rRNA from 1 species